GCCUCCUUAUUUUAAACCUGUGACGGGCCGGCUCGCCGCUUGCUCCUUCACCUCUGCAGUGCCGUCCGGCUGCUCCAACUCGAAAGCGCGCUUGUGGAUAAUACCGCGCAGCAUCAGAUGUAGCGCCGGUGACUUGCAGGCCUUCAAAUCAGUGGAGCGACACUCGGAAAUGGACACCACAUGCUGAGUGCGUUCUUUCUCGCUUGCGCGCCGAGACAGAGCUGAAGAUUGACAGUCGUUCCACCGCUGAUGUCACUUCCUUCUGUCUGCCCUCCUGGACCCGCCCCUUCCUUCCUCAAGCCCGAAUGACCAGAAACCCAGCCGUCUUCUUUUCAGUUCUGCGUUGGACUCGCGUCUGAAAAGACAUUGAACAUUUCUUUGUUAAAAAGACCAUCCAUUUCUGUUUGCUUCACAUAUCCACAGUCACGUCGGUGACCCAAACAUUUUUCUGUGUUGGUUUCUUCUCUUACAACACGAAAAAUGGCUGAUUUUUUUUUUGUUGUACUGCUAAAUAAAAUAGUUGCUAUGUUUUUAUUUAGCAAAAUAAUCUGCCAAUGAGGUGAGCAGGGUAAGCAAUGUUUCUUAAACUACGCCAAAUCAUCAUAAACACAAAAUUCUUAAUAGGCCAACAGCUCUUACA